ACGGGAGGCAGCAGUGGGGAAUAUUGGACAAUGGGGGAAACCCCGAUCCAGCGACGCCGCGUGAGUGAAGAAGUAUUUCGGUAUGUAAAGCUCUAUCAGCAGGGAAGAUAAUGACGGUACCUGACUAAGAAGCCCCGGCUAACUACGUGCCAGCAGCCGCGGUAAUACGUAGGGGGCAAGCGUUAUCCGGAUUUACUGGGUGUAAAGGGAGCGUAGACGGAAGGCCAAGUCUGAUGUGAAAACCCAGGGCUCAACCCUGGGACUGCAUUGGAAACUGGUCAUCUAGAGUGCAGGAGGGGUAAGCGGAAUUCCUAGUGUAGCGGUGAAAUGCGUAGAUAUUAGGAGGAACACCGGUGGCGAAGGCGGCUUACUGGACUGUAACUGACGUUGAGGCUCGAAAGCGUGGGGAGCAAACAGGAUUAGAUACCCUGGUA
rnacentral:rRNA from 1 species